rnacentral:rRNA from 1 species
AGAUUGAACGCUGGCGGCAGGCUUAACACAUGCAAGUCGAGCGGAGAGAGGUAGCUUGCUACUGAUCUUAGCGGCGGACGGGUGAGUAAUACUUAGGAAUCUGGCUAUUAGUGGGGGACAACAUUUCGAAAGGGAUGCUAAUACCGCAUACGUCCUACGGGAGAAAGCAGGGGAUCUUCGGACCUUGCGCUAAUAGAUGAGCCUAAGUCGGAUUAGCUAGUUGGUGGGGUAAAGGCCUACCAAGGCGACGAUCUGUAGCGGGUCUGAGAGGAUGAUCCGCCACACUGGGACUGAGACACGGCCCAGACUCCUACGGGAGGCAGCAGUGGGGAAUAUUGGACAAUGGGGGGAACCCUGAUCCAGCCAUGCCGCGUGUGUGAAGAAGGCCUUAUGGUUGUAAAGCACUUUAAGCGAGGAGGAGGGUACUGGUAUUAAUACUACCAGGUACUGGACGUUACUCGCAGAAUAAGCACCGGCUAACUCUGUGCCAGCAGCCGCGGUA